rnacentral:rRNA from 1 species
AUUGAACGCUGGCGGCAGGCCUAACACAUGCAAGUCGAGCGGAGCGGCGGACGGGUGAGUACUGCCUAGGAAUCUGCCUGGUCGUUGGGGAUCCCGUCCGGAAACGGGCGCUAAUAACGCAUACUAGCAGAUGAGCCUAGGUCGGAUUAGCUCGUUGGUGGGGUAAAGGCAUACCAAGUCGACGAUCCGUAACUGGUCUGAGAGGAUGAUCAGUCACACUGGAACUGAGACACGGUCCAGACUCCUACGGGAGGCAGCAGUGGGGAAUAUUGGACAAUGGGCGAAAGCCUGAUCGAGCCAUGCCGCGUGUGUGAAGAAGGUCUUCGGAUUGUAAAGCUCUUUAAGUUGGGAGGCGUUAUCAACAGAAUAAGCACCGGCUAACUACGUGCCAGCAGCCGCGGUAAUAC